rfam:Danio rerio chromosome 4, GRCz11 reference primary assembly.
UCCCUGGUGGUCUUGUGGUUAGGACUUAGUGCUCUUACCGCUGUGGCCUGGGUUCAAUUCCUUGUCUGGGAG